GUAACCGUGAGUCAUGCCGCCCCUGUCUACCAUUUGUAUCCGACCCGUCAUACACUAAUUAAUUCUUCUUGUAACUUGAAAACUAAGCUCCGGACAAAUUUUUGCAAAAGGAAAAAUUGUCUCUAAAUUCGAUUACAAAUAUGCCAGUUUCGGGACCAAUGUGUUAUUUUGAAUCACCCUGUAGAAGGAAAGAAUAAUAGAUACUUAAACGGGAACUUGAUAAAAAUGUAAUAUUUAUAUGGAUACCAGCGCACAUAGAGAUUCUGGGUAAUGCAGAUGAUUUAGCAAAACAAGCGUUGAAGGAGUCUCCUGAUAAUAGUAUAGAAAUCCCGUUGGGUGAUUGUAAAAGGGUUUUCAAAAUCAAGACAUAGAAUAUGACCUGAGAGAAUAUAAUAAAAGACGCACAAUACAAAGACAAAGAAUAUUUUAAAUAUUUUUAUACUAAGGAAAAAAAGAAGCCACGGUUUGAUGGUUUAAAUCGCGACCGAUAUUUUGUCACAUACAAUAAAAUAAAAGCAAAUCAUUACAAUGUAAAUUAUAGAGAGCGCUAAGUGUGAAUAUGGCAACGAGUGUGAAAGUUUGGAACACAUACUGUGGCAGUGUAGUAAAUACGAUAAUGAGAGAGCUAGGCUAGAUGACGCACUUAGGAGGAAAGGUAUUACUGAGGAAAUGGACUUAAAUCUAGCAAUUAAAUACAAAAAUUGGACCAUACUGAAUUGUAUAUACAUUAAGAAGAUUGGCAAAAUAAUAUAAAAGGACCACAAACAGGAGUAGAGAACCUGUGCUAUAUCGUCGCAACGGUAGAUGGAAGGCAUUAGCUUUUCCAUCCAGAGAAAAACUUCAAAAAAAAAAAAAAAUGGCUUUCUCAUUUCAAUUAUGCUCUAAUGACAUGUAUUUCUCACGUCUAAAACGAAAUACAUAUAUUCUUGAAAGGAAACGGAAAACGCAAAGAAACAAAAAAGAUGUAAUCUACAAAUUGAAUAAAUCUUGCAGUUUUUGUACUUUCUGACAACACUA